rnacentral:lncRNA from 1 species
CCCCCUUGUAUUUUGAGAAAUCUAGAACUCCAAAAUCGCCCCCAAUGGAAGGUGGGUGCGAGAUACUGUUCUGGUCGGGAAGGAAGAAGGGGUAUUUAUACAGAAAUACCACAGGUGGUUGCUUAAGCCUGUGUAAACAUUUUCCAGGAGCAUUUACACUGGCGAUUGGCUUAAGUCAACUGCCUAUGAUAAACGUUUUCCACAGGCGACUGAGAUCUCUAACAUCGCCCUAUUUAUACCACAGGCGAGCCGUAACUGGAACCGCCUGUGGUAUAAAUGGGGGCGCCAGCUAUGAGCCUGAUUCUACUAGUGUACGGAACCAGGGCUAAGGUUUCGGGACUAAAUGUCCUACCUUUCAUCCCGGUUUCGAGAGCCGGGACUAAAGGUCCACCUUUAGUCCCGAUUGGUAAAAGCAACCGGGACUAAAAGGUGCGCCACGAUGUGCCACCUGGCCUCCACUUUUAGUCCCGGUUGGUGUUACCAACCGGGACUAAAGAGUUUUUUCUUUUUUCCUUUUUUUUCCUUUUGGUUUUUCAUUUAGGGUUUAAAAUUAUGUUAUUAUUAUUUUUGAAUGCAUAUUAUUUGUUGCUAGUUUAUGGAAAUUCGCACCUAUAAUUUUUAUAAUUUAAAGCAUUACAUAUAAAUAUACUAUAAAACACUAUAUAUAUAUUAUAUGUAUCUAUAGGUCCAUAAUAUAAUAUUUACACAUGCAUCAUGGACAAAGUAUUUACAACAAAAUUUAUCUCUACCACUCAAGCAUCGUACAAAUGAUCAUCGUGAUUUGGUUUCAUUGGCUCCUCAGGGUUGAAGUAGCACUCGCCACCGGGAUUCAGGACUUGGUCAUUAAGAAAUCCUGCGAUUGUCUGUUGAAUUCCUUUUAGGCGGUGUUGAUACCGUUUUUGGACAUGAAUCAAAAAAGUUAAUGAAGCUUGGAUCGGCAGCUAGAGAAGUAAUGACUGGCCGAUAAGGAAGUUGCUGAUGGCCUAUGGUACCAAUGACAAGGCAACAUGAGGAGGAUAUGGUUAAAUCUAGGAAUGGUAGUUGAUCGGUGCCGAUAGCUGAUGUUGAAAAAUUGCCGAUGCCGAUGAAGGAUGUUAUGCCGAUGAUGGUGAAGGAAGACAUGGAAGUCAUCGGGAGGACACUGGUGGUGUGCCGAUCUCCCAGGACAGAUAAAUUGUUAUUUUCCAUAAUUGUUAGAGUUUAUUUUAUGUACGAGUUCUGUUUGGUUUGGAACUAGAAUUCUAGUCGUAUCUGGUUGUAACUCUUUAGGACAGAGUAUAAAUAUAGGCCUAGUAGCGAUGUAAGAAGACAAUCAAUCAAUAUCAUACACAAGUUUUACAUCUACUUUUGCAUCUACUUUUUCGACGACUUCAUCAACUCACAUAUUUUCUUUUACUUACGAGUUCUUAAGAAUUCAUCGAGUCAUACUCGACGGGUUCUCGAGUUCCGCGUGAAUACCUCAUGGCCAUGGCAUUCGGCUGCAUCACUGUUGUCGGGACCAAAGUAUUCGAGUUACCACCUUUGUCGGUUGUAAGGUCAAAUCGGCUGGCACGCCUUAACGUU